GACAGAGGGGGCAAGCGUUGCUCGGAAUCACUGGGCGUAAAGGGCGCGUAGGCGGGAUGGCAAGUCAGUCGUGAAAUCUCUCGGCUCAACCGAGAAACGUCGGCUGAUACUGCCGUUCUUGAGGGAUGCAGAGGAGACUGGAAUUCCCGGUGUAGCGGUGAAAUGUGUAGAGAUCGGGAGGAACACCGGUGGCGAAGGCAGCCCCCUGGGAUAACACUGACGCUCAUGCACGAAAGCGUGGGGAGCAAACAGG
rnacentral:rRNA from 1 species